rnacentral:pre_miRNA from 1 species
AUAAUACUCCCUCCGUCCGGAGUUACUUGUCAUCAAAAUGGAUGUGUCUAGAACUAAAAUACAUCUAGAUACAUCCAUUUAAAUGACAAGUAUUUUCGGACAGAGGCAGUAGUAG